UGUCUAAAGGACCAAGGUACACAGGCUGGGGAAAUAGAAAAAGGAGGAAAACAGCCACAGAACCACAUCCGGCGAGUGACGACUGCGGGCUUGAUCUCAACCUAAAGACUCAAGGCUGCAAAAGGCCAAGAGAUUUUCUGUCAUUGUGGAAAAGCAGACUAGUCAAGAACAAGGCUACAGAUCAAAAUCCAGAAGGAGCUGGUCUCUCUGAGGACGAGCAGGCUACUAGGAACAAGGGAGACUUCUCGUUUGAACUCUGAAGAUGGAAGGGACAGUGGCCAUGGGCAAGAACACAGCUGGAGUUGCCUCGUCUGAAACAUCUGAGGACCGUGGGCCAAGACAGAAAGACAAAGGGAACAAAGGAGAAUCUCCCAGAAAACACAUCACAUCACAGGAGUGGCAACAAACCGCACAGGCACACACAUCGUAAAAGACUGAAAGCUGGGCCUUUCAGUGUGAACAACAUAUACUAGAGCGAGAAGCUACGGGACACUGGAAAGAAACAAAAGCCAGGAAGCACCGUGAUGAUGUUCUAAGAAAAAGGCGUAUAUCAUUUACAGUAUGAAGAGAUGCUUCUUCGGAAGCCGUGGCUUCUGUAUUAUCUGGUGGUUGCAGUUCAAGGUCGCAGUAUCAGAGGGCCAAAGGGACCUGAUUCAAAAGUUAAUAUUUGUCGUGACUGGCUCUGCAAUUGCAUGAAUAUUAAAUAUGUAGAAAUAAUCGUAAGCACGUUAUCUCGGUGUCGCUACGCAUCGCUUUAAUUUUUAAUGUAAUCUUUUUAUCCGCCUUCUCCUCAGCUGGCUGUGGCCGUGUGAUUUGCAUGGCUAGAAUGAUCUGGUGCCAUCAAUUUGGUAAUGAAGUCCCUCACCGAGCAGGAGAGGUUUCCAAAGCUGUAGGAAAGGAGAGAGCAGAAAUGAACUUUUAUAUUCCAGCUAAGUGGGGACUAAAUCUUAGGCCAUUUGUUUUUCCUUUGUAAUUUGAUGUGAUUGCUUUGUGAGAAAUCUUAGAAACAGAGAAAGGGGGACAGCACAAAUAUUUCCAUCACCUUACCUCAUCAGUAUCCUAUGUUCUGGUCUCUUAUCUUGACAUAUGCAUAUUAGUAACAGAUAUAAUCUGAGUUAGGUAUGAUGUGU